UUAGCCAGUGACAUCAAAGUUUUUACCAAGUGAUAAUUUCCCUCUUGAUUUGAAAGGAACGCCUCCAGCUCUCCAGCAACGCCCAUGAAUUUUGAAUGUGGGGUGAAUAAGAAUAACGCACACAUGGAAGCUAGCAACUCCAGCACCAUUAUCAGCACAUGAACACCAGAUCCCUCUUGUUUCUCAAACACGAACCAAGUGUACUGAGUUAAUUUCCUUUUGAAGUCUGAAUGUAAGAGGAGCGACAUGUACUGGGGUAAAGUGAGGCUUAUUUGGAGAAGGUACACACGGUCCCGCUGCUCCAGACCUCGACCGGAAUGGUGAUCUGAUUCCUGAUAAAGUCCGGAGUGGACCCGGAAUCAGUCAGUCCAUGUCGAACACUCCCCAGUACGUUCCAGUGGACACGAGCCUCCUCGGCUACUCCAAACACCAGACACACUAAAGUAACAGAACCACUGGACUGGACUUCAUCCUCAGAAGGCGAUGAGAUUACAAUUGAAAUGUCUUCAGGACUUUCUGGAGAGAUAAUAAUAUGUGUAUGUGACACGAACGUUCGGACUAUAUUAUAUUCUGAAAAUGAAGAGUGCACAGUUUAAAAAAUACUUUAUUAACUAUUGAUGUAUUAUUUAUGAAAGAGUAAACAUCUAGACCACUGGUUUCAACCUGGUUUUUAAUCCCUUAAAAAGACAAACCUGCGGACCCCUGCCCCAACCAUGUAGUUUCACCAUCUUGUUCAUAAACGGUUUCUUACAUGUUUCAAUCCUUUAAUCAAUAAUUUUAAACACAAUUAUUGUUAAUGGCGAUGCUUAAUUUACAUCAACAGACACUGAAUCAGAAAAAAGUAGUAUGAAAACAGGCAGAAUAAGGCUGUAUUUUUUCAUAGAUAUCAUCAAUCAAUAAUUAUUUUUUAGAAAGUGCCCUUUUCAGAUUGGCAGCUAUGGAAACAAAUUAUAUAUAAAGGUAAGGAACCUAAGUGCAUUGUGGCCUGCUUUAAAAUAAUGAAUGAAAGGUUCUUGGGGUGAUUAAUAUAUUUAUAUAUGGUUGUAAUAAAGUAAUCUUAUAAAACAUACAAUAACCUACAUAAUAUGAUACUUAUAACAUAUGUAAUUAACAUGUCUUAUAAGAUACUUUAUUAAUAGCUGUAUAAAUUGACCUUGACAUUUUCACAAGAUAUUGUUAUGAGUGGGCAAAUGACAUGAUAUAUAUGACAUUAUAAAUACUGUUAUAAUCUUUUUAUAACGUGUUAUAGCAACACAAAAAAUGGUAAAAGUGUAUUAUAGCAGUCUUAUUUCUAAUCAUACUUUAUAAUGGUUAAUAGCAUAGCUAAUAACAUGUUUAUAGAUUGUUUAUAACCACUUAUAACGGAUACCUAAACUAAAGUGUUACCAAAAUAUUAAGAUCCCUCUUAUUACCCAAGUUGUUUAUUGGUAGAUUUUAAAAAACAUAAAAGUGUUUAUGUUGUUCUUUUUUAUAUUUAACCUGAAAAUAAAAAUGGAAAUACACAAUCUUAUUUACAAGGUUGUUCAGGGAGAAGUAGUCAGACUCAUUCAUACAUGUCAUUACACAGGGAGCUGCUUGUCCAACAUUAUAACCAGACGCUGCUCUGCCAUUGUUUUCUAUGGAGGUCAGGCUGCCGUUCUGGUAUAACUCAAUAACAGGAAACAUCAAUCUGGAUUGUUGGGCACAGUUUCGUGCACUGGGGGGAACGCUGUGCCAGACAAACUGGACAGGCUGGACCUGCAGUUGCAAAACUCCUCUGUCCGCUGGUUCGGACGGAGGGGGCUUAGAUGGCAUUUUUUUUGUUUUGUUUUGUUUAUGAUUUAUUUUUUAAUUCCCCUUCUUCUAAACUUGAUAUCCUGGUGAUUCACGCUGCAGGCAAUGAUUUGGGUAAAUUGAAAAGUGUGGAAUUAGUGAGGAAAAAGAAAAAAUACUUAACAAAUGGAGAUUAGAUGAAGGGGCAUUCAGAACAGAAAAUAGGAGGCACUUUUUUACACAGAGAAUUGUGAGGGUCUGGAACCAACUCCCCAGUAAUGUUGUUGAAACUGACACCCUGGGAUCUUUCAAGAAGCUGCUUGAUGAGAUUCUGGGAUCAAUAAGCUACUAACAACCAAACGAGCAAGAUGGGCCGAAUGGCUUCCUCUCAUUUGUAAACUUUCUUAUGUUCUUAUGAAUGACACUGGUAUUGAUAUAGUCCUAAAAAAACCUCCAGCAUGGAAUUAAACCACACCUUCUGUAAAUAUAUUCUUCCCUUCCCCUACACACCCUCACACUGUUGUUUUUACUGCAUAUUUUGAAUUGUGUAGAUGUAUUGUGUAUAUUGUUUUGUUUUAAUAAAAGUGUAUU